rnacentral:rRNA from 1 species
AUACGGAGGGUGCAAGCGUUACUCGGAAUCACUGGGCGUAAAGCGCGCGCAGGCGGCUAUUUAAGCUGGAUGUGAAAGCCUACGGCUCAACCGUAGAACUGCAUCCAAAACUAUUAGACUAGAGUGUGGGAGAGGAAGAUGGAAUUAGUUGUGUAGGGGUAAAAUCCGUAGAGAUAACUAGGAAUACCAAAAGCGAAGGCAAUCUUCUGGAACACUACUGACGCUGAGGCGCGAAAGCGUGGGGAGCAAACAGGAUUAGAAACCCUAGUAGUCC